AUGAUCAGGUGGAACUAGGCUUGAUAAUCACAUAUCUUGUUUACCUAGGGUUGAUAUUUUCAUCUACCAUGAAUCCUAAUGUCUGCCUGUCUUGUUAGCCCAAAGUUGGCAUGUUACAUAUUAUUAGUUGUUUAGAAUCUUUGUGCUAUAGUUAAUGUUUGUCAUUUUAUGUUUCAUGUUCAACUAAGUAUGUUUGCCAAACUAUGUUACUUGUAUGUUGUUAUGCCAGGCUUUGAUGUUAAAAUUCUCAUAUAAAGAUUUCAUUCCACCCCCUUCUUGUUUGCGAUUCUGCUAGGCUGUCAUCGGAAGUUCUUUAGGUUGGUUCUACUUUGAGACAUUGUUUGCAUUAAUUUGCUAGCUUGUGAUAUCCUAUCUUGUCAUUGUUAAAUCUUGUUUUCUGGAUUUACUUGCCCAAAUGUAUCUUUGGUUCCUUUCAACUUAGCAUGGCCUUGUUUAUUUGUUGAAACUGCAACUAUUUCAGUUGUAAGAACUAAGUGUUUAAGUUAUUCUAUGAGUAGUUCAUUUACUUGUAUGGCUAAAUUUGGCAUCCAUUAGCUUAAUUACUUCAAUUGUUUGGGCCUGGUAUGUUGGGUCUCCUUUGGUAUUAGGUCUGCCUUUGGUACAUUGUCUACACCUGGAGUUUGGACCUGCUGUCCGCAAGUUUCGAGUCUAUUUGAGGCCCAGAUAUGUUACUGGGUUAUUCUUUAUUUGUAAUUGGGCAUGUAUUGUUCAAUAUGGUUUGUAAUAACUUGUAAAACUGAAUGAUGGGGAUAUUAGUUAAGAAAGGGGGACGAGGGUUGGGGUAUUAUAAUUCUUGCAUGAAUGGGUAGAAAAUAUGUCCAUAGGGUUUAAUUGCUUUGUUUGAUAUUUGUUUGACUUACUUUAAUUCUGCACACUAAUAGAAAGCAUGCUUAUAGGAACUCAAACACGUCACCUACUGAACCUGUCUAAUGCUCGCACAUUGUCAGAAACGUGUUUGUAUUAACCUAAGUGUUUUAUUUAUUCAUGUGUUUACUUUUAUGCACUAUUACAUAGCAUGACUAUAGGAAUCAAAUAUAAUUUAGUAUUUGCUCAAUUUGUGCAAUUGCAGUGUGAUUAUUAGAAAACAUGCCUACAAGAUCGUGUUAAAUAAUUAAUAUAUGCUUCCACUGAUAUUCAUCUAUAGACCAUGUCUAUAAGGCCUUAAUUGAUUAACUAAUUGGUUGCCUUGUUGUUCCUAUCACAUUGCCGCAUAGACAACAUGCCCAUAGGAAUAAACAUAAUAAAUUUGUGUUCAAAUACCAACUAUUAGAGAAUCUGCAUGUAGGAUACUACUACUCGGUUAGAAAGCAUGCUAAAUGGAUUAAAAAAAUGAGUAAUUAUGAGUUUUCCAAUGGCCUGACUUCCCCAAGCGCAAAUCAUUUGGAGACCAUGUUUAUAGGCUUUUAUAACAUUUCUAAUUUGUAAAUUCAAUAAUCUGGUCAGCAGCACUACCCAUGAGAUGUUCUUAAACUAUGUGGUCACAUAGAAGCCAUGACUAUAUAUUUUAACAACUCCAAUAUAUCUCGAUUCUAAAAUCGCCUACUCUAGAUCUGAAUAUGUCCGCGUGCUUUUGUUGCUUAUAUGUGGAGGCUAACUUGAGCCACUCGUUGUUUUUACAUGUAGCCGAACUUAUUUUUGAACAUGCUCGUAGUUUUAUCAUUUUGAAUGCCCUAAGUAAAGUCUAGAACCACCCAAAUAGUAGGUCCAAAGCUUCUUGGAGCAUAGGCAUGAGACGGGUAGUGUAGACAUAGGAUACAACCUAGAAUUGAACUAGAGCACUUUAGGUAAGCAACUUUAAUAUAGUAAUUGGGUAGCAGGAGAUGAAAGUCUAUGCCCACUGAAUAAUAUGAGCAACCCCUACCCUAAGGUAAUUGCAAAGUAUUAUUUAUAUUGCACGGGAUGAUCCUUUAGGCUAAAAAAAUUAGGACCCCACUUUAUAUGUUUGUUACUCGCGCCUUUGUUUCUUUGAACUUAGAACAACUAAA
rnacentral:lncRNA from 1 species